rnacentral:rRNA from 1 species
GCGUGACAUUAGUUAGUUGGUGAGGUAACGGCUCACCAAGACCACGAUGUCUAGGGGUUCUGAGAGGAUUAUCCCCCACACUGGUACUGAGACACGGACCAGACUCCUACGGGAGGCAGCAGUGAGGAAUAUUGGUCAAUGGUCGCAAGACUGAACCAGCCAUGCCGCGUGCAGGAUGAAUGUUCUAUGAAUUGUAAACUGCUUUUCUAAGGGAAGAAACCUAUCCUCGUGAGGGUAGUUGCCGGUACCUUGGGAAUAAGCAUCGGCUAACUCCGUGCCAGCAGCCGCGGUAAUACGGAGGAUGCAAGCGUUAUCCGGAUUCAUUGGGUUUAAAGGGUGCGUAGGCGGAUUAAUAAGUCAGUGGUGAAAUCUUGCGGCUCAACCGUAACAUUGCCAUUGAUACUGUUAGUCUUGAAUGCAGUUGAGGUAGGCGGAAUGUGUAAUGUAGCGGUGAAAUGCUUAGAUAUUACACAGAACACCGAUUGCGAAGGCAGCUUGCUAAACUGUGAUUGACGCUGAUGCACGAAAGCGUGGGGAUCAAACAGGAUUAGAUACCCUGGUAGUCCACGCUGUAAACGAUGAUUACUCGUUGUUUGCGAUAUAUUGCAAGCGACUGAGCGAAAGCAUUAA